AGUGAACGCUGGCGGCAGGCUUAACACAUGCAAGUCGAGCGGAGAUGAGGUGCUAGCACCUUAUCUUAGCGGCGGAAGGGUGAGGAAUGCUUAGGAAUCUGCCUAUUAGUGGGGGACAACAUUCCGAAAGGAAUGCUAAUACCGCAUACGUACUACGGGAGAAAGCAGGGGAUCUUCGGACCUUGCGCUAAUAGAUGAGCCUAAGUAGGAUUAGCUAGUUGGUGGGGUAAAGGCUGACCAAGGCGACGAUCUGUAGCGGGUCUGAGAGGUGGAUCCGCCACACUGGGACUGAGUCACGGCCCAGACUCCUACGGGAGGCAGCAGUGGGUAAUAUUGGACAAUGGGGGGAACCCUGAUCCAGCCAUGCCGCGUGUGUGAAGAAGGCCUUAUGGUUGUAAAGCACUUUAAGCGAGGAGGAGGCUACUGAGACUAAUACUCUUGGAUAGUGGACGUUACUCGCAGAAUAAGCACCGUCUAAUUCUGUGCCAGCAGCCGCCGUAA
rnacentral:rRNA from 1 species